rnacentral:rRNA from 1 species
CACGGCGCACGGGUGAGUAACACGUGGGCAAUCUGCCCUCGGAUGGGGGAUAACUCGCCGAAAGGCGAGCUAAUACCGCAUGACAUUCCCUACGGCAAAGGCCCGUCUGAGGAGGAGCCCGCGCCCGAUUAGCUAGUUGGUGAGGUAACGGCUCACCAAGGCUUUGAUCGGUAGCCGGUCUGAGAGGAUGGCCGGCCACACUGGAACUGAGACACGGUCCAGACUCCUACGGGAGGCAGCAGUGGGGAAUAUUGCGCAAUGGGCGAAAGCCUGACGCAGCGACGCCGCGUGGGGGAUGAAGCUUUUCGGAGUGUAAACCCCUUUCGACCCGGACGAAUGACGGUACGGGUAUAAGAAGCCCCGGCUAACUACGUGCCAGCAGCCGCGGUAAUAC